UACGGAGGGUGCAAGCGUUAAUCGGAAUUACUGGGCGUAAAGCGUGCGCAGGCGGUUUGUUAAGUCUGUUGUGAAAUCCCCGAGCUCAACUUGGGAAUUGCAAUGGAUACUGGCAGGCUGGAGUAUGGUAGAGGAAGGUGGAAUUCCCGGUGUAGCAGUGAAAUGCGUAGAGAUCGGGAGGAACACCAGUGGCGAAGGCGGCCUUCUGGACCGAACCUGACGCUGAGGCGCGAAGGCUAGGGGAGCAAACAGG
rnacentral:rRNA from 1 species